GAAUGGAAAACAAAUACCCUCAUGGCAGGCACAAACCUCAGUCCACAAAUUUGGGGUUGUAACACAUUUCUAAGUUCUUACCCUGUGCCAAGAUAUUGAAGAGGGGGAUUCCCACCUGUAUACAUGAGUUACCAGUGAGAUGUCUGCUGUCCCUUUCCAUGUGGCCCCUUCAUGACUCGCAUCUCUCUAUUUCUGUUCCAGUCUUGGUAUACGAGCCUCUUCCUUAAAAGUGGUGGGUGAUCCCAUCUGUACCACGCAGCUGGCUUCACUGAGAGUG
rnacentral:lncRNA from 1 species